rnacentral:siRNA from 1 species
CUUGUUGGUAUUGAGGUAUUGC